rnacentral:rRNA from 1 species
UACGUAGGGAGCAAGCGUUGUCCGGAAUCAUUGGGCGUAAAGCGCGCGUAGGCGGCCCUGUAAGUCCGCUGUGAAAGUCAAAGGCUCAACCUUUGAAAGCCGAUGGAUACUGCAGGGCUAGAGUCCGGAAGAGGCGAGUGGAAUUCCUGGUGUAGCGGUGGAAUGCGCAGAUAUCAGGAGGAACACCAAUAGCGAAGGCAGCUCGCUGGGACGGUACUGACGCUAAGGCGCGAAAGCGUGGGGAGCGAACAGG